GUCCAGUGAAGGUUAGUGCGCCGCUGCACCGGGCAUCAAUACGAUCCAUUUCACUUUUCUUUAAAAUUGAAUUCAUACAAGUUAUCGGCUCGGUUAACGCGCCGCCCAUGGAGGUGGCGGAAAGGCAGCGCCUGCAGCGCCAGUGCGAAGCUCCGGUGGACACGAGGGGCGGAAUCAGGACGGCUGGAGGGAAAGAACGAGGGAAGAGGGGAUGGAGACUUGACUGAGAGGGGAAAGGCGAGAUAAGACUCUUCUCCUCACUCGUGGAGGAGGAAACGGGGACGCACACGAGGUCACCAAUUGUGUCUUGAGUGUCGGAGUGAAUCACCUUUACACGAGUUGCUCACACCGAUCGUCAGUUGCCAGCGACGUGAUCAUAUUGUAAAUCAAUAAAAUAAGGCCUUAAUUAGGUCACCCUCC